AUGGACCAGGUGCAACGGAAGAGCAUCCUGAGGUCAGCAAAGCCGCUGCCGCGGACGCGGUCGGAAGAGCUGUCCAUGUUGUCCGACCUCGGUCAGCGACGGGACGUGGUUCUGAACAUCGAUGGGAACGGCAACGGCCCCGGCGCGGACGUCCUCGGAGCGGCGGGGAAGCCGACAGCCAGCAGGAAGUUGUCCACCGCCGCCAGCUCGCCGUCCCACUCCCAGGGGUGGGCCGACGCGAGCUUCGACUUCUGGAGGAACGAGGGCGGCCACGCGCGCCGCGUCGAUGACUUCAGCUUCAAGAAUCGGCCGGCGUCACCGCAGCCGCAGGCAUCGUCCCCUUCGCUCUCGCCGAAGAAGAAGGCGGCGGAGGUCGGCGAGGACCCGCCCGCGCGCCUCAUCGGGAACUUCCUCGGGAAGCAGAAAGCGGCCGAGGCCGAGCUGCUCGACCUCGACAUGGAGACGGACGACAUUGGGAGGUCGUCACACUCACACCCGUUCUCAUCCAACUCCAGAGAUCGGGAUGCGCCGCGUGUCUCCUUCAAGGACCGCCAGAUGUCCUCGUCCUCUUCAUCCGGCUCCGAUUCCGAUACCGGAGGCAUCAAGCCCGCCGGCGACGACGGAAUACGCAACACCUCCACUCCCACUCCAGCGGGACCGAGACCAUUACUACGAGCCAAGACGCGCUCCCGGCUCACGGACCCGCCGCCGCGGUCAUCCGUGGCCGUCGACGAGGAGCGCAAGAAGUCGUCCGCCUUGCGCCCUCCCAAGUCCGGCCAGUUUUCUGGGCGUAUAACCGGCAAACCCGGCCAGCGGCGCAAGUCGGGCCCCAUGGAGGAGGAGGAGGAGGACGACGACGACCCCUUCACAGACGCCGACAUCCCCGACGACUUCAACCGCGGGAAGCUGGGCGCUCUCACCAUACUGCAGUGGCUCAGCUUGGUGCUCAUCAUCGGGGCACUAGUGUGCAGCCUCACAGUAAGGCCCUUGUCACGGAAGAAGCUCUGGGAGCUGCACCUCUGGAAGUGGGAGCUCCUCGUGUUCGUGCUCAUCUGUGGCCGCCUCGUCUCCGGCUGGGCCAUCCGGAUCGCGGUCUUCGGCGUGGAGCGCAACUUCGUGCUGCGGAAGCGCGUGCUCUACUUCGUGUACGGCGUACGCGGCGCCGUGCAGAACGCGCUCUGGCUCGGCAUGGUGCUCGCCUCCUGGCACUUCUUAUUCGACGAAGGCACCAACACGGCGGUGCUGCCCUACGUGACCAAGGUGCUGCUCUGCCUCCUCGUCGCCACGCUCGUCCGCCUCGUCAAGACGCUUCUCCUCAAGGUCCUCGCCUCGUCCUUCCAUGUCUCCACAUACUUUGAUCGGAUCCAGGAGGCGCUGUUCAACCAGUACGUCAUCGACACACUGUCCGGGCCACAGCUGGUCGACGAAGACUACGUGAUCGCUGAGGUGCGUGAGCUCCAGCGCGCCGGCGCAGACAUCCCGAAAGAGCUACACCCCGCCUUGCCAACCAAGAACCUAUCGGAGCAAAGGGGCACCCGGGUCUCGGGUUUGAUCUCCAAGGGAGGUGGAAUCAAUCCGUUGUCGAAGGAGAAGAAACGGCGUGAGGCUGAUGAAGGCAUCACCAUUGACAAGCUCCAUAGGCUCAAUCAGAGAACCGUCUCGGCGUGGAACAUGAAGAGGCUGGUGAAGAUUGUUCGUUUUGAGACGCUCGCCACAAUGGAUGAGCAGAUCCAGCAAGCAACGGCAGGGGAAGGGGCUGGGUCAGGGACACAGAUUCACACUGAAUAUGAGGCGCAGCUGGCCGCCAAGAAGAUCUUUCACAACGUAGCCAAGCAUGGUUCCAAGCACAUAUACUUGGCAGACUUGAUGCGCUUCAUGAAGCAGGAGGAAGCCAUCAAAGCUAUGCACCUUUUUGAAGGAGCACAGGAGCACUGUAGGGUGGGCAAGAAGUCUCUCAAGAACUGGGUGGUGAAGGCAUUUAGAGAGCGCAAAGCUCUUGCCCUAACACUUAAUGAUACAAAAACAGCAGUUAACAAGCUCAACCAGAUGGCCAAUGUUGUUGUUGGCCUCAUAGUGUCCGCUCUCUGGCUUCUUAUUCUCGGCGUAGCAACGACACAAUUCUUUGUAUUCCUCAGUUCACAACUUCUUGUGGCGGUAUUUGUAUUCGGGAAUACCUUGAAGACGAUUUUCGAGGCAAUUAUCUUCUUAUUCGUUAUGCAUCCUUUCGAUGUUGGUGACCGCUGUGAAAUUGAAGAGGUUCAGGUUGUUGUAGAGGAAAUGAAUAUCAUGACAACAGUCUUUCUUCGUUAUGAUAACCUGAAGAUCUAUUAUCCAAACAGUGUACUUGCCACCAAACCAAUUUUUAACUUCUAUAGGAGUCCUGAUAUGGGAGAAGGGGUUGACUUCUCUAUUCAUGUAGCCACACCGAUGGAAAAACUGACGCUCAUGAAGGAAAGAAUACUUCGUUACAUUGACAGUAAGAAGGAACAUUGGUACCCUGGUGCGAUGGUUGUCCUCCGAGAUGUAGAUGACACCAACAAGCUGAAAGUAUCCAUAUGGCUGCGGCACAGACUCAACUUCCAGGACAUGGGUAUGAGGUUUGUGAGGCGGGAACUCGUGCUCCAAGAGAUGAUCAGAGUCUUGAGGGACCUCGACAUCGAGUACCGGAUGUUGCCCCUUGAUGUGAACGUGCGAAACGCGCCCCCUCUGCAAUCCACGAGGAUGCCGACGACGUGGAAUUAUUCAUGA
rnacentral:rRNA from 1 species